AGCGAACGUUUGCGGCGGGCCUAACACAUGCAAGUCGAACGGGCUAGCAAUAGUCAGUGGCGCACGGGUGCGUAACACGUGGGUAAUCAACCCUUCAGCUCGGGAUAACGCCUUGAAAGGGGCGCUAAUACCGGAUGCGACGCGAGGAGCCUCGGCGCUUCGCGGGAAAGAUUCGCAAGGAUCACUGAAGGACGAGCCUGCGGCCCAUCAGCUAGUUGGUGAGGUAAGAGCUCACCAAGGCGAAGACGGGUAGCUGGUCUGAGAGGAUGAUCAGCCACACUGGAACCUGAGACACGGUCCAGACUCCUACGGGAGGCAGCAGUGGGGAAUACUUGCGCAAUGGGCGAAAGCCUGACGCAGCCACGCCGCGUGAGCGAUGAAGGCC
rnacentral:rRNA from 1 species